rnacentral:lncRNA from 1 species
UGUGGUGUGUGUUUAUAUGGUUUGCAAAAUCCAUACUCGGUACUUCUCUUAAGUUGGUUCCUAAAUAUCAGUAUAAUUUUAGUUUUGUUCCAUAUAAUUUUAUUUUUAUGUUUAUUUUUGUUUUUUUAUUUUUUUUUUCUCUUGUUCCCUAUAAUUUUUUAUUCUUCCUUUUUAUGUUUAUUAUUGUGUAUGUCUGUGUGUAUAAUCUCAAUUAAACAAUUUUCCCCACCAGAAAAAGACAUUAUAAUAGGCUCACUCCAGUCCUUUGUCUGUCCAUAUAUGUGGGUCACCUAGUAGGAAAUAAAAGAUUAUAAACACUAUUAAGAUGCGAUAUUGACAAAUUUUUUUAUAGACAAUAUUUUUAUUAAACAUACUUUAUUUUAUCUUAGAGUUUAUUUUACAAUAAACUUACAAAUGAAAAUUAAAAUAUCAUACAAACAUAUGGGAACUUCAAACAAAAAUUACAUGAUAUUAUAGGACUUAAGGAAUUCCCUUUCAGGAAAUCCCUUGGAAAACUAAAAGUAAAUAAUGGAAAGAAACUUACAUACAAACUUGGAUAUCUUACAACAUGUAUGCAACAAACUUGAAGAGGAGUUCAAGAACUUUUAAGUAAAUGGGUUAAGAGAAAGUGAGAGGGAGAGGUUUUUUUUUGCUUCUUAGUAGGUGUGUCUCACUUCUAAACAAUCG